UACUAGAUAGCUAAACGGUAAAGCAGCGGACAUGUUCCGUCACCUGCGGGUUCGAUUCCCGCUCUAGUCACC
rnacentral:tRNA from 1 species